rnacentral:tRNA from 1 species
AAGAUUUUAGGUUAAAAACUAAACUUACAACCUUCAAAGUUGUAGAUAUUAUUAAUAAGAGUAAGUCUUA